rnacentral:rRNA from 1 species
CUCAAAUGAAUUGACGGGGGCCCGCACAAGCGGUGGAGCAUGUGGUUUAAUUCGAUGCAACGCGAAGAACCUUACCUACUCUUGACAUCCAGAGAACUUAGCAGAGAUGCUUUGGUGCCUUCGGGAACUCUGAGACAGGUGCUGCAUGGCUGUCGUCAGCUCGUGUUGUGAAAUGUUGGGUUAAGUCCCGCAACGAGCGCAACCCUUAUCCUUUGUUGCCAGCGGUUAGGUCGGGAACUCAAAGGAGACUGCCAGUGAUAAACUGGAGGAAGGUGGGGAUGACGUCAAGUCAUCAUGGCCCUUACGAGUAGGGCUACACACGUGCUACAAUGGCAUAUACAAAGAGAAGCGACCUCGCGAGAGCAAGCGGACCUCAUAAAGUAUGUCGUAGUCCGGAUUGGAGUCUGCAACUCGACUCCAUGAAGUCGGAAUCGCUAGUAAUCGUAGAUCAGAAUGCUACGGUGAAUACGUUCCCGGGCCUUGUACACACCGCCCGUCACACCAUGGGAGUGGGUUGCAAAAGAAGUAGGUAGCUUAACCUUCGGGAGGGCGCUUACCACUUUGUGAUUCAUGACUGGGGUGAAGUCGUAACAAGGUAGC